GAUGAAGAACGUAGCGAAAUGCGAUAAGUAAUGUGAAUUGCAGAAUUCAGUGAAUCAUCGAAUCUUUGAACGCACAUUGUGCCCCCUGGUAUUCCGGGGGGCAUGCCUGUCCGAGCGUCAUUACAACCCUCAAGCUCAGCUUGGUAUUGGGCCCCGCCGACCCGGCGGGCCCUAAAGUCAGUGGCGGUGCCGUCCGGCUCCGAGCGUAGUAAUUCUUCUCGCUCUGGAGGUCCGGUCGUGUGCUCGCCAGCAACCCCCAAUUUUUUUCAGGUUGACCUCGGAUCAGGUAGGGAUACCCGCUGAACUUAAGCAUAUCAAUAAGCGGAGGA
rnacentral:misc_RNA from 1 species